rnacentral:rRNA from 1 species
CUACGGGGCGCUCCAGUGAGGAAUAUUGCACAAUGGGGGGAACCCUGAUGCAGCAACGCCGCGUGGAGGAUGACGCAUUUCGGUGUGUAAACUCCUUUUAUAUGUCAAGAAAAUGACGGUAGCAUAUGAAUAAGCACCGGCUAACUCCGUGCCAGCAGCCGCGGUAAUACGGAGGGUGCAAGCGUUACUCGGAAUCACUGGGCGUAAAGGACGCGUAGGCGGGUCGGAAAGUCAGGUGUGAAAUCCUACAGCUUAACUGUAGAACUGCACUUGAAACUUCUAAUCUAGAGUAUGGGAGGGGGAGAUGGAAUUAGUGGUGUAGGGGUAAUAUCCGUAGAUAUCACUAGGAAUACCUAAAGCGAAGGCGAUCUCCUGGAACAUUACUGACGCUAAGGCGUGAAAGCGUGGGGAGCAAACAGGAUUAGAUACCCCGGUAGUC